rnacentral:lncRNA from 1 species
CUGCGAGGACGCCUGCAAGGACCUGCCCAAGACCAGCGACAAGGACGACGUCGUCAACUUCAGCCUCGACUUCGAGAAGCUGCAGCGCGUCACGCUCGACCUCAUCACCGAGGCGUCCGGCACCAUGUCCGCAGGCAUCGCCCUGCCACCCUCCAACGCCGGAGCGCCCUCCUACGGCGCGGCGGCGCCUUCCGGGGGCUCCGCCGAUGCCCCCGCCGGCGCCUCCGAGGGCCCUGCGAGCGCCAGCGGCCCGUCUGGUGACGACGCGCCGGCGUCCGGUGCUGGUGCCAGCGCGUCGGCUGCUGAUGCUCCGGCGGCGGCGGCCUCAUCCGGUCCCUCUAGCGCACCAGCGCCAUCGUCGUCGUCUGAGUCCUCCGCCGCACCAGGCCCAUCUUCUGAUGGCACCUCCAGCGCCCCAGCACCAUCGUCCGGCGACGAUUCUGAUUCCGACGACGAUGGGUCAGCUUGAGCCUGACCGAUGACGCGGGUUUGGGUUACCGGUGCCACUCAAAAUACGAUCCCUUUUAUUGUAAAAGAGGGAUCCCUUCUUUCCAUUGCAUUCUUGCAAUCCGUUUCUUCUUGACUAUGUUUCUUCUUGACUAUGUAACGAUAAUAACAUGAGAAAAUUAUCUGAAUGACAUUAUAUUUUUUCUAAUGCUUUAUUUAUCAUCGCAAAUAUCUUAAUUAAUUCUUUCUAUACCACUUAAAUGUACUUU